rnacentral:rRNA from 1 species
UUAGUAACGCGUGGGAACGUGCCCUUCUCUGCGGAAUAGCCACUGGAAACGGUGAGUAAUACCGCAUACGCCCUUCGGGGGAAAGAUUUAUCGGAGAAGGAUCGGCCCGCGUUAGAUUAGAUAGUUGGUGGGGUAAUGGCCUACCAAGUCUACGAUCUAUAGCUGGUUUUAGAGGAUGAUCAGCAACACUGGGACUGAGACACGGCCCAGACUCCUACGGGAGGCAGCAGUGGGGAAUCUUAGACAAUGGGCGCAAGCCUGAUCUAGCCAUGCCGCGUGUGUGAUGAAGGUCUUAGGAUCGUAAAGCACUUUCGCCAGGGAUGAUAAUGACAGUACCUGGUAAAGAAACCCCGGCUAACUCCGUGCCAGCAGCCGCGGUAAUACGGAGGGGGUUAGCGUUGUUCGGAAUUACUGGGCGUAAAGCGUACGUAGGCGGAUCAGAAAGUUGGGGGUGAAAUCCCAGGGCUCAACCCUGGAACUGCCUCCAAAACUCCUGGUCUUGAGUUCGAGAGAGGUGAGUGGAAUUCCAAGUGUAGAGGUGAAAUUCGUAGAUAUUUGGAGGAACACCAGUGGCGAAGGCGGCUCACUGGCUCGAUACUGACGCUGAGGUACGAAAGUGUGGGGAGCAAACAGGAUUAGAUACCCUGGUAGUCCACACCGUAAACGAUGAAUGCCAGUCGUCGGGCAGUAUACUGUUCGGUGACACACCUAACGGAUUAAGCAUUCCGCCUGGGGAGUACGGUCGCAAGAUUAAAACUCAAAGGAAUUGACGGGGGCCUGCACAAGCGGUGGAGCAUGUGGUUUAAUUCGACGCAACGCGCAGAACCUUACCAGCGUUUGACAUCCUGAUCGCGGAUUCCAGAGAUGGUUUCCUUC